GUCAGGGUGGCCGAGCGGUCUAAGGCGCCAGACUCAAGGUUCCCUUGCCCACUCUAUAGUGGGUGUUGAGCAUUCUGGUCCUCUUUGAGGGCGUGGGUUCGAAUCCCACUUCUGACA
rfam:Dendroctonus ponderosae Seq01008952, whole genome shotgun sequence.